UGCUAUACAUGCAAGUCGAGCGGACAGAUGGGAGCUUGCUCCCUGAUGUUAGCGGCGGACGGGUGAGUAACACGUGGGUAACCUGCCUGUAAGACUGGGAUAACUCCGGGAAACCGGGGCUAAUACCGGAUGCUUGUUUGAACCGCAUGGUUCAGACAUAAAAGGUGGCUUCGGCUACCACUUACAGAUGGACCCGCGGCGCAUUAGCUAGUUGGUGAGGUAACGGCUCACCAAGGCGACGAUGCGUAGCCGACCUGAGAGGGUGAUCGGCCACACUGGGACUGAGACACGGCCCAGACUCCUACGGGAGGCAGCAGUAGGGAAUCUUCCGCAAUGGACGAAAGUCUGACGGAGCAACGCCGCGUGAGUGAUGAAGGUUUUCGGAUCGUAAAGCUCUGUUGUUAGGGAAGAACAAGUGCCGUUCAAAUAGGGCGGCACCUUGACGGUACCUAACCAGAAAGCCACGGCUAACUACGUGCCAGCAGCCGCGGUAAUACGUAGGUGGCAAGCGUUGUCCGGAAUUAUUGGGCGUAAAGGGCUCGCAGGCGGUUUCUUAAGUCUGAUGUGAAAGCCCCCGGCUCAACCGGGGAGGGUCAUUGGAAACUGGGGAACUUGAGUGCAGAAGAGGAGAGUGGAAUUCCACGUGUAGCGGUGAAAUGCGUAGAGAUGUGGAGGAACACCAGUGGCGAAGGCGACUCUCUGGUCUGUAACUGACGCUGAGGAGCGAAAGCGUGGGGAGCGAACAGGAUUAGAUACCCUGGUAGUCCACGCCGUAAACGAUGAGUGCUAAGUGUUA
rnacentral:rRNA from 1 species